AUUGAACGCUGGCGGCAUGCCUUACACAUGCAAGUCGAACGGUAACAGGUCUUCGGAUGCUGACGAGUGGCGAACGGGUGAGUAAUACAUCGGAACGUGCCUAGUAGUGGGGGAUAGCUACUCGAAAGAGUGGCUAAUACCGCAUGAGAUCUACGGAUGAAAGCAGGGGAUCGCAAGACCUUGUGCUACUAGAGCGGCCGAUGGCAGAUUAGGUAGUUGGUGGGAUAAAAGCUUACCAAGCCGACGAUCUGUAGCUGGUCUGAGAGGACGAUCAGCCACACUGGGACUGAGACACGGCCCAGACUCCUACGGGAGGCAGCAGUGGGGAAUUUUGGACAAUGGGCGAAAGCCUGAUCCAGCAAUGCCGCGUGCGGGAUGAAGGCCUUCGGGUUGUAAACUGCUUUUGUACGGAACGAAAAGCUCUGGGUUAAUACCCUGGGGUCAUGACGGUACCGUAAGAAUAAGCACCGGCUAACUACGUGCCAGCCGCCGCAGUAACAC
rnacentral:rRNA from 1 species